AAAUUUAUGGGACAAUUUGAUGUAAAUCAAUCAAGCUGUCCCAAUUUGGUAACAAAAAAUAAUUUUGAGACAAAUAAAUUGGUGAGGGAUUUGUCCCAAUUCGAUAACAAAAAGUAAUUUUGUGAAACAAAGUGGAAGAUUAUUGUCACCUAAUCAGAUUAGCACAAUAACUUUGUUGGGCAAUAUAAAACAAAAAUCAAUCACGUCAUUCACAAAGCAAAACAUGAGCAUGGGAUGGGCUUAAAGGCAAGAAAGAGAAACAGAGCAUAGAUCGAUCCUUCACUUGCUCCGCGUGCGUUGCCGCUGUCGCUGCUGUCCCUCAUCCUCCUCCUCCUCCUCUUCCUUCACCUCCACCACCACCACCCAUUUCUAUUCCAUGGCUGAGUUGACUCAGCCCGAGGUCGUCUACUCACCUCGCUCUCUUCAACUAUGGAGGACGCUCUGGAACUGGCUCGCUUUCUUCUUUCAGAUCUUCCUCCAGAUCCUUCGAGCCUUAGGCCACCUUCCUCUCCUCUCUUCUUCUUCUUCUUCCUCUUCUAACUCUUUCAAGCCUUUGCCAGUCGUUGAGUUGCUGGAGAUUGACUCUCGCACUACUCUUGAGAUCACAGCCGGACGUGACUCCUCUUUUGCUGAUGAGCCUAUCAAAAAACUCACAGUGGUUCUGGACUUGGAUGAAACUCUAAUAUGUUCGUAUGAGACAUCUAGUUUGCCAGCUAUUCUACGUAAUCAAGCAACAGAAGCUGGACUGAAGUGGUUUGAAUUGGAAUGCUUAUCUUCAGAAAAGGAAUGUGAAGGGAAACCUAAAAUCAAUUGUGUUACGGUGUUUGAGCGUCCAGGGUUAGCCGAAUUCCUAAAACAACUGAGUGAAUUUGCUGAUCUUGUUCUGUUUACUGCUGGCCUUGAAGGUUAUGCUAAGCCCCUUGUUGACAGAAUAGAUACAGAAAAUCUAUUUAGUCUUCGCCUUUAUCGGCCUUCAACAAUUAGCACGUAUGUACCAUUUUCUGUAUUGCUCCUUAGCUACUUUAGUUCUUUUUAUAUCCUUUUUCCCCAAAUUUGUAACUAGUCUAAAAAAAUAGGCCAUUCAUAUUUCUAUUCUUUUUUAGCUUGAAAAUUUUGCUAAUCUGGAUAAACAUGUCUCUCUUGCUGACAAGUGAAAACACGUACUCUCUUGUAGAUAUGUAUAAAAGGUUAUGCAUCAUACAUUAAUCCCAAAGAGAGCGUGUUUUCUAACUCUUGGGAGUUGGGAGAGUAAUGAAAAAUAAGCGUUUGUGUUGGAAGCAAAAUUUUUAAUUGCUUUUCUUGGAUGAUAUUCUUAGAGUAAGCUCAAGUGUGCUGCUAGAUUAGCUGUUUACUGAUUUGAAGCCCAUUACUGAUCCAUGAAACACAAGUAUCUUGUGAAAAGAAAUGGAAUCUCAAUCAAGAAAAUUGUUACUUUUUGUAGACUAUGUAAGUUACUAAACCUUCUAUGUUAAAUUGCUAAUGUAUGCAAAACAGGGCUUGUCCAACUUCUUUCAGAUACGUGCAUGCAAUUUCUAUCUGUUAUUACAGCCUUUUAGAAGGCCAAUGGGUCAAAAAAUUUCAAGAAGAUUUUAAAUUAUUGCAUGAUAUGUAGAAGAAAACCGCACCCUUAGCCCAAAAUUGUUUGUUGUGCAAGCUGUUCUAUAACUCUAGCAUAAGUUGAAAAUAGAUAAUGCAUUUGCAUAUUCUGUGGAAAGUCAACUAAUCUUGUUUUAUGUGGGGUUCUGAGUUUGUUUUCUACAUCUCUUAGACUGCACUAUUGAUGUUCUAAAGAAUCAUCACUUCUCAGAAAGACAAUGUGUUAGUAUUUAGUUAAUGACUUCACGUGUGUAUUUUUUACUUGGAAUAUGAUGUUCAUAUGCCAAAUCAUUCAAGAAAAAUCAAGAAACAACUUUAUUUCUUUAGACUAUAAAUUGCAUUACUUCCAAUUAUUCCUUGAUGGUUGAUGCUUUAUGCUGUACAAUUUAAUUUGAUUCUUGUCCUUUAUUUUUUAAAGAAAGUGUCAUUGUUAAUGAUCAUUAAGCUUCUUUUAUGACCAUUAAGCCUGAGAAUUGUUUUUUAAAAUUGGCAAAUCUCUCAUGUGGUAUGUGAACAGGGAGUAUAGGGAGCAUGUGAAGGAUCUGUCUUGCCUAUCAAAGGAUCCUUGCCGGACUGUUAUAGUUGACAACAAUCCAUUUAGUUUCUUGUUGCAACCAUUGAAUGGAAUUCCAUGUGUUCCUUUUACUGCAGGUCAACCAUAUGAUACACAGCUUCUGGAUGUACUCCUUCCGCUCCUUAAGCACCUGUCUAAUCAGAAAGACGUGAGACCUGUGCUAUAUGAAAGAUUCCACAUGCCUGAAUGGUUUCAAAAGCAGGGGAUCCCUGCUUCUUGCCGGACAUAGUAGGAUAAAGAUAGAAUGCAAAUGAAAGCCACCAUCCUUUUACUAUCCACAGGCAGCAUUUUGUGUGGAACACAACUUUUUGUAUAUAGGUUUAAUUUGUAUGCCAGAGGAAUUCAUGAAUGUCAAAGCUCAUGUAGUUUUGGGAAAAGGAUUCAUCUGCUGCUUUCGUUGGCCAAAUAGGCGCAAAAGUUAUUUCUGUAGAUUUGUUAAUACUCUGAUUCUUAUUGUAAUUCUGUUUAUAUGUUUGCAAUCUGGUGAAUGUUUAUGUAUCUUUCUCAGUUCUGUAAAUUGUACUUUUAUCAAUGAUUAUUAGUAGUUCACACUUUUC
rnacentral:misc_RNA from 1 species